GCCAAAGUUCCUACCAGUGGAAACCAAGGCAUUAUCUUUUGUACUAUUUUUCUUCCUCAUUGCCACUUUAUCAUCUACUCUGAUAUCUGAAGACUUCCCACAAGGCCCUGAGGACUGGAUCAGGGCCUGCUCAAGCCCGAUCUCAUAUUUACUACUUUCAUGUGAUGAUGGAAUAUACUGCACACAACCAACUUUAUGGCUUGGUGAGUCAGACAACAUCCAGUUCAUGAUGGCCAGCUCAGUCACAUGGUAACUUGGUGAGCCGUGGGCCAAGCAAAAACCGCAAGAAAGAAAGAGAUAGCUGGAAGAAAGCACGUGUCACACGCUUGGGAACUGGCUAGUGCCUCUCACUGCCUCAGCUUAUUCGCAGCCAGUAGGUCUGGCGGUUUCUACUGGCAGAGGUCUGUGCUCCAAUCUUCACUGGGGGUAGGAGUUGCCUUACGGUCAGACUGCGGCCGUCCGCAACGGCUCAGACGGUCACAGGGAUCACCGUUCAUCAUGACUUGGCCGGCUGGCCCCAUGUUCUGACUGGGGAGGUUGAGCACCCUGGGUGUGCCUCACAAUCUAUUGGCUUGCAGUUACAUCAGCCCUAUUCUGAUUGGCUACACCCAGUUACGGAAGCCAUUACAUCAUUACAGAUGCAUUGUUGGCUAAGUAUACCAUUCCUGAUCAAUACAUUCCAGAACUUUUGAAC
rnacentral:lncRNA from 1 species